rnacentral:snoRNA from 1 species
GAGGCCUAUGAUGAUCAAUGUGGAAACCUUUCUCUCUGAAAUCUUGUGAGGACAUACCCUACUACUGCCUUCCUUCUGAGGUCUC